GGGUUGUGAGGUUAAGCGACUAAGCGUACACGGUGGAUGCCCUGGCAGUCAGAGGCGAUGAAGGGCGUGCUAAUCUGCGAUAAGCGCCGGUAAGGUGAUAUGAACCGUUAUAACCGGCGAUACCCGAAUGGGGAAACCCAGUGUGACUCGUCACACUAUCAUUAACUGAAUCCAUAGGUUAAUGAGGCGAACCGGGGGAACUGAAACAUCUAAGUACCCCGAGGAAAAGAAAUCAACCGAGAUUCCCCCAGUAGCGGCGAGCGAACGGGGAGGAGCCCAGAGCCUGAAUCAGCAUGUGUGUUAGUGGAAGCGUCUGGAAAGGCGCGCGAUACAGGGUGACAGCCCCGUACACAAAAGCGCAUGUGCUGUGAGCUCGAUGAGUAGGGCGGGACACGUGGUAUCCUGUCUGAAUAUGGGGGGACCAUCCUCCAAGGCUAAAUACUCCUGACUGACCGAUAGUGAACCAGUACCGUGAGGGAAAGGCGAAAAGAACCCCGGCGAGGGGAGUGAAAAAGAACCUGAAACCGUGUACGUACAAGCAGUGGGAGCACCCUUUGGGGUGUGACUGCGUACCUUUUGUAUAAUGGGUCAGCGACUUAUAUUCUGUAGCAAGGUUAACCGAAUAGGGGAGCCGGAGGGAAACCGAGUC
rnacentral:rRNA from 1 species